rnacentral:rRNA from 3 species
CGUAUCACUUAAAGCGAUUCAGCGGGUUACGAUUGACGGAGCGAAGCGACGUCAAAGCGUAUACAAAGUCGAGUCGGUUUAAGGAUACGUUCGUUGGGUAGGGGAGCGUUCUGUAAGCCUGCGAAGGUGGCCUGUGAGGGUUGCUGGAGGUAUCAGAAGUGCGAAUGCUGACAUAAGUAACGAUAAAGCGGGUGAAAAGCCCGCUCGCCGGAAGACCAAGGGUUCCUGUCCAACGUUAAUCGGGGCAGGGUGAGUCGACCCCUAAGGCGAGGCCGAAAGGCGUAGUCGAUGGGAAACGGGUUAAUAUUCCCGUACUUGGUGUUACUGCGAAGGGGGGACGGAGAAGGCUAUGUUGGCCGGGCGACGGUUGUCCCGGUUUAAGCGUGUAGGUGUGUGUUCCAGGUAAAUCCGGUUCACUUUAACACUGAGGCGUGA